AAGGGGGUGGUGCAGUCAAGCGGGCCCUGGGGCAGGCCUGGCCCAGUGCUCCGUUCUUGGGAGCCCCGCCAGCCCACAGGCCCAUCUGCGGCAGGCACGUGGUGCCGCGAGAACGUGGCUCAGGGGCGGUUUUUCCGCCAUGCGCAGAUUCUCGCCUCGCGCGGGGGCGGCUGGUUGAGGUGCGCAUGCGCACUGGCACCUAACGGCUCUUCUUCGAGUCUUCUCAGAGGUUGGAGAUUCCAUGUCUUCUCCAACCUCUGCCAAGUCUUCAGAGAGGUUGGAGUGCGCCUGUCGGAGACCCCAGAUGAGGAUCUCGGGAAGAUCCACAAAGCUGCGUCCAGGGGAGCGAACCUGUGGAAGCUGCAGCGGAGCCUCCUGCUCAAGAGUAAAGGACCGGUCUGAAACCUCCAAGAACAGACCCCAGAUGAGGAUCUGGAAUAUCCACAAAGCUGCGUCCAGGGGAACGCGUGGAAGCUGCAGCGGAGCCUCCUGCUCAAGAGAAAAGGCCAGUCUGAAACCUACAAGAAGAACAUGUGUCGGGAACUGCGGGCUGUGGGCUGGGGGCUAUUGGAGGAGGUGGGCAGGUGGGGAGAAGCACCCCCUUCAGAGCUGGGGGCUUGGGGAGUGGGGGCGAGGGGAGGCUUGGAAAGAAUGGAGUGUGUGGGGCGGACCAUCCUGGUCCCCAGGGCGCUGGGCUUUUCUCCCUGGCAGACUCCGCAGCGCCUGAGAUGUGGACGCCUUGGAGGCGGAGGGCCCAAGCCAUCUUUAUGAGCAGCAAAACAAACCCAAAACUUUAGCUGGUUUCUCCACCCACAGUUCCUCUUACAGAGCACUUCAGAGAGAAUUUUAAAGAGGUAUAACAAAAUUAAGUAUAUACAGUGUUUUAUUUUUAAUGUACACAUUUUAAAAGAUAAUAUUAGAUACAUUAUAGAAAGGAACGUAAUGAAAGAAAUAAUUCCCAUAAUAUAUCACCUUCUGGGCUAGAAAUUCUUUGGCUAAAACCCAAUAUUUAUUUUAUAUUAAUGAAUGCCUACAUAAAUAUGUUCUUUACUGAGGGACCUUAGAAGGACACUUUGAAGUGGGAAGAUGGUUCAUGUUCUUGAAUUAAGAAGACUCAUUUUUCUCAAGAUGUGAGCUCUUUAUCAAUUUUACAUAAACCAAAUAAAGCUAUCAAAAUUUUUAACGUUUUUGAAUUACGUUUGUGAUGACAUUAAGAAAAUUUUUGUAACGGUUAAAAAAGUCUUACCUUUCUAGAUAUCAAAUGUGCUAUUAAUUUCCACAAAUAGUUUGCUAACAGCUGAAAAGAUAGAUAAAUGAAUAUAAGAGAAUAGAAAAUCCAGGGACACUCAAAUAUAUGUAAGAAUUCAGAACUUGAUAACGGUGAUACUUUGUACUAGUAGGAAAAGAUGAAUUAUUUUCAUUAAUGAAAGGCCUGCUUUUUGGAGGAAACUAGCUAGAUUUUUAUGCCACAAAAAUAAGUUCCUCAUACAAUAUAGACUGAAAAUUUUAAAUAUGUAAGUUGAGAGAAACAUCAGAAGAAAACACAAAUGCCUUAUUUAUACAGAAGCAUUUUUGUGUUGACAAAAACCUGUCUAAGAAGCUCACAAGCAAGCCUUCUGAAGGUUGAUCUAGCAAAAUAAAAUUAAAUCACCCUAUAUAUAACAAAAAAUAACAAAACAUAAGGUAACAUACUUAUAAAAUAUUUACCAUAUACGUGUACACAUAUUAGAUUAAAUACGGAUUUUCAUUUUACAGAGAAUUAUUUCAAAUCUGCCUGAAAAAAAAAAGACUCUAAUUUAACAUUAAGCAAAGCAGUUCUUUCAGAUCUGCAAGUGACCUAUGCUCAUAGGAAAAAAUAUUUUGUGUUCUUGGUAAGAGAAGGAAUUUAAAAGAGGUAUAAAAUAUUGUUUUCUGUCCACAAAUUUUGUGAAGAUGAAAAGCAGUGAUAUUAUACUGCUGCUUAAAGUUGCUGAUGGCCUUUCAAAUGGACAAUUUGGUGGUAAGCAUUACAUUUUUAAAAUGUAUAUUCCUUUUACUGAUCAAUUCCAUUAUACUAAAAUCUGUUUAGAAGACAAUGAGAGAUACAUGCGAUUUCAUAAUUUGAAGGUCUUGAAUUCCAGUGUUUUUAUAGUUUGGGGUUUUACAAUAAGUGUUUAAUCUAUUUUGAGUUAAUUUUUGUAUAUGAUGUAAGGAAGGGGUCUAGUUUCAAUCCUCUGCAUAUGGUCAGCCAGUUAUCCCAGCAACAUUUAUUGAAUAGGGAAUCCUUUCCCCAUUGCUUGUUUUUGUCAGGUUUGGCAACGAUCAGAUAGUUGUAGGUAUGUGUACUUAUUUCUGAGUUCUCUAUUUUGUUCCAUUGGCCUGCGUUUCUGUUUUUGUACCAGUACUAUGCUUUGGUUACUGUAGCCCUGUAGUGUAGUUUGAAGUCAGGCAGCAUGAUGCCUUCAGCUUUGUUCUUUUUGGUUAGGAUUGGCUUGACUAUUUGGGCUCUUUUUUGGUUCUAUAUAGAUUUUAAAAUAUUUUUUUCUAGUUCAGUGAAGAGUCUCAAUGGUAGUUUAAUAGUAAAAGCAUUGAAUCUAUAAAUUGCUUUUGGCAGUAUGGCCAUUUUAAUGAUAUUGAUUCUUCCUAUGCAUGAGCAUGGAAUAUUUUUCCAUUUGUUUUUGUCAUUUUUGAUUUCUUUGAGCAGUGCCUUGUAGUUUUCCUUGCAGAUACCUUUCACCUCCCUAGUUAGCUGUAUUCCUAGGUAUCUUAUUCUUUUGGUGGCAAUUGUGAAUGUGAGUUCAUUCCUGAUUUGGCUCUUAGCUUGACUGUUGUUGCAUCUCAGGGAUAAAGCCUACUUGCUUUUGGUGGAUAAGCUUUUUGACGUUCUACUAGAUUCAGUUUGCCAGUAUUUUGUUGAGAAUGUUUGCAUUGACAUUCAUCAAGGAUACUAGCCGAAGUUUUCUUUUUUCUUUUUGUUAUCUCUGCAAGGUUUUGGUAUCAGGAUGAUGAGUUAAGGAGGAUUUUUCUCCUCCUCAAUUGUUUGGAAUACUUUCAGUAGGUAUGAUGCCAGCUCUUCUUUGUACAACUGAUAGAAUUCAGCUGUGAAUUCAUCUAUUCCUGGGCUUUUUUUACUUAGUAGGCUAUUUAUUACUUCCUCAAUUUUAGAGCUUGUUUUUGGUCCAUUAAAGGAUUUAAUUUCUUCCUGUUCAGCCUUGGGAGGGCGUAUAUGUCCGGGAAUGUAUCCAUUUCUUUUAGAUUUUUUAGUUCAUGUGCAAAGAGGUGUUCAUAAUAUUCUCUGAUCAUUGUUUGCAUAUUUUGGGGUAACUGUUAAUAUCCCCCUUGUUUUUGAUCGUGUUUAUUCAAAUCUUAUCUCUUUUAUUCUUUAUUAGACUAGCUAGCAAGUCUGUCUAUUUUAUUAACUUUUUCGAGAAAGUAUCUCCUGGAUUUUUUUAUCUUUUGAAAGAUUUUUUAUGUCAUUAUCUUCUUCAGUUCAGCUCUCAUUUUGGUUUCUUGUCUUCUGCUAGCAUUAGGAUUUGUUCACCCUUGGUUCUCUAGCUCUUUUAGUUGUGAUGUUAAGUUGUUGACCCGAGAUCUUUCUAGCUUUUUGAUGUGGGCAUUUCGUUUCCCUCUUUGUGGGCUAUAAAUUUCCCUCUUUACACUACCUUAGCUGUGUCCCAGAGAUUCUGGUAGGUUGCAUCUUUGUUCUCAUUAGUUUCAAAGAACUUCUUGCAUUCUUCCUUAAUUUCAAUAUUUACCCUAUGUUCACUCAAGAGCAGGUUAUUCAGUUUUCAUGUAAUGAUGUAGUUUUGAGUGAAUUUCUUAGUCUUAAUUUCUAAUUAGAUUGUGAUGUGGUUCAAGAGACUUUUUGUUAUGAUUUCAGUUCUUUUGCAUUUGUUGAGAACAAACCUAGAUUUUACCUACAAAAUGCAUAGGUGAUAUCAGUGACAGGCAUUGAAACUGAUUUUGUCCAGUUCUUGAUUCACUGUGAGCAAUUAGUGGCAAAACGAAUCCAGGAGGCACUUUUUGAUUUGGGGAGCUUGGUUUUUUAAGGGCUAGAGUAGCUUAGCCUUUAUAUAUAUAUACAUAUUUAUCAUGUAUUUUUAUGGUAAUAUAAAUAUAUAUGUGUUAUAUAUUUAUAUUUAAACAUAUUUAUAAGAUUGACUAUAUUGACUUACUCUGUUUUCUGUUGCUAUAACUGAAUACCUGAGACUAAGUGAUUUAUAAAUAAAUUUAUUUCUUACAGCUCUGAUGGCUGGGAAAUCCAAGGUUACAGGGCUUAUCUGGUGAGGAUCUUUUCCCUGGUGGGGACUCUACAGAGUCUCAAGGUAGUGCUGGGUAUUACUUGGUGGUGGCCUCACAAGAGACAACCAGGAAUGAAUUAAUCCAUUCAUAAGGGCUUGGUCUCCCAAAGGUUCUGCCUCCCAAAAGUUCUCCCUCUCAAAGUUUCUACUAGUCACUUCCCAAAGGUUCUACCAGUCACUUUGCAAAGGUUCUACCUCUCAACACUGCUACCUUGGGGGACCAAGUUUUCAACACAUGAACUUUUGGGGAACACAUUCAAACCAUAUCACCACUUUAGCUGUCUUGGCUACUAUCUGCACCUUUUACGUUCAAUCCAUGUAUAUCUUUGAAUCUAUAGUGUGUCUCUUAUAAAUAAUAUAUAUAGUUGGAUCACAUUUUUCUUAUCAGUCUGACAAUCUCUGCCUU
rnacentral:lncRNA from 1 species